GUGAAUCAUCGAAUCUUUGAACGCAAAUUGCGCUUCCUGGUAUCCCGGGAAGUAUGCCUGUUUGAGGGUCAGUAUUAACAAAAAAUCGGUAUGGUUGCAACUUGUGACGUUUCCGGUGGUUGGGCUUAUCUUUACUUUUUUGGUUAAGGGGCUUACAAUUAACCUUUUUUGCGCAUUUUUAGUCGUACCUAAUUUUUUUUUUAUUCGUC
rnacentral:misc_RNA from 1 species